CGGAUGCUUCACCUGUCUGAUCAUCUCUGAAAAGGUAAAUCUGUUCUGGUUGAGUUAAGUUUCAAACAAUUAAAAAAGCAAACACACAAUACGUUCUCUUUACCCCAGUUAACGGAUGUAACAGUUUCCUAAAAUAUGGAGACUAAACACAGUGCGAGAAAGUUUCUUUGAUUGAACAAAUCAUAUGAAUAUUUAAUGAGCCCCCGGUUUAUGUUUAGCCCUCUCCUGCAACACCUACUCUUCCGCCGAGAUAAAGAGAGAUGGAGAGGCGGUGAAAGACAGAGAGAUGGAAAAAGAGAUGGAAGUCAAACAAUAAAAUAAAAUGUGGCAUAUACCACAAUAAAAAAAUGUAUAUUUUUGGCUUGUUCUGCAG
rnacentral:lncRNA from 1 species